GCCAUAGCUCAGUGGUAGAGCAUCUGCUUUGCAUGCAGAAGGCCCCAGGUUCAAUCCCCGAUAUCUCUG
rnacentral:tRNA from 1 species